ACUCCUACGGGAGGCUGCAGUCGAGGAUCUUCGUCAAUGGGCGCAAGCCUGAACGAGCGAUGCCGCGUGAGCGAUGAAGGCCUUCGGGUUGUAAAGCUCAAAAGGGGUGAGAAAGGGCAACUUGAUCGAACCCCAGUAAGCUCGGGCUAAGUUCGUGCCAGCAGCCGCGGUAAGACGAACCGAGCGAACGUUGUUCGGAAUCACUGGGCUUAAAGGGCGCGUAGGCGGGUGCUCAAGUCCGGGGUGAAAUCCUCCAGCUCAACUGGAGAACUGCCUCGGAUACUGGGUGUCUCGAGUGUGGUAGGGGUAUGCGGAACUAUCGGUGGAGCGGUGAAAUGCGUUGAUAUCGAUAGGAACUCCGGUGGCGAAGGCGGCAUACUGGACCACUACUGACGCUGAUGCGCGGAAGCCAA
rnacentral:rRNA from 1 species